rnacentral:rRNA from 1 species
AUUGAACGCUGGCGGCAUGCUUUACACAUGCAAGUCGGACGGCAGCGCGGGCUUCGGCCUGGCGGCGAGUGGCGAACGGGUGAGUAAUGCAUCGGAACGUGCCCAGUAGUGGGGGAUAGCCCGGCGAAAGCCGGAUUAAUACCGCAUACGACCUGAGGGUGAAAGCGGGGGACCGAAAGGCCUCGCGCUAUUGGAGCGGCCGAUGUCGGAUUAGCUAGUUGGUGGGGUAAAGGCUUACCAAGGCGACGAUCCGUAGCUGGUCUGAGUGGACGACCAGCCACACUGGGACUGAGACACGGCCCAGACUCCUACGGGAGGCAGCAGUGGGGAAUUUUGGACAAUGGGGGCAACCCUGAUCCAGCCAUGCCGCGUGCGGGAAGAAGGCCUUCGGGUUGUAAACCGCUUUUGUUCGGGAAGAAAUCCUCUGGGCUAAUACCCCGGGGGGAUGACGGUACCGGAAGAAUAAGCACCGGCUAACUACGUG